UACGAAGGGUGCUAGCGUUGUUCGGAAUCAUUGGGCGUAAAGCGUGCGUAGGCGGUUUGGUAAGUCGACUGUGAAAGCCCAGAGCUUAACUUUGGAAUUGCAGUCGAAACUACUUUGCUAGAGUAUGGCGGGGGAUAGUGGAAUUCUUAGUGUAGGGGUGAAAUCCGUAGAUAUUAAGAGGAACACCAGUGGCGAAGGCGACUAUCUACACCAUUACUGACGCUGAGGUACGAAAGCGUGGGGAGCAAACAGG
rnacentral:rRNA from 1 species